rnacentral:rRNA from 1 species
UACGUAGGUGACAAGCGUUGUCCGGAUUUACUGGGCGUAAAGAGCGUGUAGGCGGCCCGGUAAGUCCGCUGUGAAAGUCGGGGGCUCAACCCUCGAAUGCCGGUGGAUACUGUCGGGCUAGAGUGCGGAAGAGGCGAGUGGAAUUCCUGGUGUAGCGGUGAAAUGCGCAGAUAUCAGGAGGAACACCGAUGGCGAAGGCAGGUCUCUGGGCCACUACUGACGCUGAGAAGCGAAAGCAUGGGGAGCGAACAGG